rnacentral:rRNA from 1 species
GGGGAAUUUUGGACAAUGGGCGCAAGCCUGAUCCAGCCAUGCCGCGUGCAGGAUGAAGGCCUUCGGGUUGUAAACUGCUUUUGUACGGAACGAAAGACUCUGGUUAAUACCUGGGGUCCAUGACGGUACCGUAAGAAUAAGCACCGGCUAACUACGUGCCAGCAGCCGCGGUAAUACGUAGGGUGCAAGCGUUAAUCGGAAUUACUGGGCGUAAAGCGUGCGCAGGCGGUUAUGUAAGACAGAUGUGAAAUCCCCGGGCUCAACCUGGGAACUGCAUUUGUGACUGCAUAGCUAGAGUACGGCAGAGGGGGAUGGAAUUCCGCGUGUAGCAGUGAAAUGCGUAGAUAUGCGGAGGAACACCGAUGGCGAAGGCAAUCCCCUGGGCCUGUACUGACGCUCAUGCACGAAAGCGUGGGAGCAAACAG